rnacentral:piRNA from 1 species
UUAGAUUGGUCUUUCAGCCCGGGGUACAC